rnacentral:tRNA from 1 species
CAGGAGAUAGUUUAUUAAAAAUAUUAAUUUUGGAGAUUAAGGAUAAGAUUUGGUUCUUUCUUCUGA